rnacentral:rRNA from 1 species
AGUCGAACGGUAACAGGAAACAGCUUGCUGUUUCGCUGACGAGUGGCGGACGGGUGAGUAAUGUCUGGGAAACUGCCUGAUGGAGGGGGAUAACUACUGGAAACGGUAGCUAAUACCGCAUAACGUCGCAAGACCAAAGAGGGGGACCCUCGGGCCUCUUGCCAUCGGAUGUGCCCAGAUGGGAUUAGCUUGUUGGUGGGGUAACGGCUCACCAAGGCGACGAUCCCUAGCUGGUCUGAGAGGAUGACCAGCCACACUGGAACUGAGACACGGUCCAGACUCCUACGGGAGGCAGCAGUGGGGAAUAUUGCACAAUGGGCGCAAGCCUGAUGCAGCCAUGCCGCGUGUAUGAAGAAGGCCUUCGGGUUGUAAAGUACUUUCAGCGGGGAGGAAGGGAGUAAAGUUAAUACCUUUGCUCAUUGACGUUACCCGCAGAAGAAGCACCGGCUAACUCCGUGCCAGCAGCCGCGGUAAUACGGAGGGUGCAAGCGUUAAUCGGAAUUACUGGGCGUAAAGCGCACGCAGGCGGCUUGUUAAGUCAGAUGUGAAUCCCCGGGCUCAACCUGGGAACUGCAUCUGAUACUGGCAAGCUUGAGUCUCGUAGAGGGGGGUAGAAUUCCAGGUGUAGCGGUGAAAUGCGUAGAGAUCUGG